UCGCAAGCGGCAAGCUUCUGGAUCACCGUUUGGACAGAAAACAUGCUCGGCGACGGGUUCUCCGUGGAGUUUUACCUCGGCAUCUACGUGGCAUGGACCAUGGCGCAGA
rnacentral:ribozyme from 1 species